UACGUAGGGAGCAAGCGUUGUCCGGAAUCAUUGGGCGUAAAGCGCGCGUAGGUGGCCUCGUAAGUCCGCUGUGAAAGUCCAAGGCUCAACCUUGGAAAGCCGGUGGAUACUGUGAGGCUAGAGUACGGAAGAGGCGAGUGGAAUUCCUGGUGUAGCGGUGGAAUGCGUAGAUAUCGGGAGGAACACCAGUGGCGAAGGCGACUACCUGGCCUGUUCUUGACGCUGAGGCGCGAAAGCUAGGGGAGCAAACGGG
rnacentral:rRNA from 1 species